ACAUCCCAGGACAUUUGCAGCAAUAAGAAAUAGACCAAAUGUCUCUUUGUCAAAUAAUCCUGUUUUAGACUGAACAUUUCUUGUUCUAUAUGAUGAUGAAAGUGAUAAUUUCUUCAGUAAAUAAGGCAUUCACUCUCUCUGAAGGUUCACAACGUGUAAGAAAAAUUAUAUCAUGGCCGAUAUCCAUACAGCAAGAUGCUCUGUCGUCAACAAUGGUGAAAUAUAUUUUUUCCUUGAUGCUAUAAGUUGGUGUGCAGUGUCAUCUAGUGUCUGAUUCUGAGAUUUCAACAAAGUCAAAUCUAAAAAUUUGUUGCUAGAUCUGCAUCAACUGCUCCUUCUAGAGGGAAACGAGAUCCUGCUGGUCUGAGCUCUGACAUUACUAUCUUAUUCACACUGGAGAAGAAAGCUGGGCUAUUGUCAUUUAUAUCUUCUAUUUCUACAUCAACACGAUAUAUCUGCACAGGCUUAUCUACAAUAACCUGCAGGGGAAUAAUGCAGAAGGGUGUAUUUUGACACAGGAGUUCUCUAUCUAAUGUGUCUUUAACAAACAAGAUUCCAUUCUGCAGAUUAACCUGGAAAUAUUCCUUCUCAUCUCUAGAGACAAUACGUAACAUUCUGGAAUUAAUCUCACCUAUCUCCAGUCCCAGGUCCUGAGCAAUUCUUCCGACAAAUGUGCCGUGCUUGGAUUCCUCCGGAAUGAUAUAAUGCAGCUGACUCAGGACCACAUCCCAGGACAUUUGCAGCAAUAAGAAAUGGACCAAAUAUAUCUUUGCUGGACAAUCCUGUUUUAGACUGGACAUAUCUUGAUUUAUAUGAUGGUGAAGGUGAUAACUUCUCUAGUAAACAAGGCAUUCACUCUCUCUCUGAAGGUUCACAGCUUGGAAAAAAAGAAUAUCAUGGCCGACAUCCCUACAGCAAGAUGCUCAGUCGUUAACAAUGGAGAAGUGUAUUUCUUCUUAUACUUAGUGCUAUAACUUGGUGUGUAGUGUCAUCUAGUGUUGAAUAUUGAUAUUGCAACUAGAACAGCUCUAAUAUCAGGAUCAACUGCUCCGACUACAUGGAAACGAGAGCCUGCAGGUAUUAAUUCUGAUAUCACUAGAGUAUUCACACUGGAGGAGAAAGCUGGACUGUUGUCAUUGAUAUCUUCUAUUUCAACAUCUACACGAUACAUCUGCACAGGCUUAUCUACAAUAACCUGCAUGGGUAUAAUGCAGAACUGUAUAACUGGACAUAGCAUUUCUCUGUCUAUUGUGUCUUUAACAAACAAGAUCCCAUUCUGUAGAUUUACCUGGAAAUAUUCCUUCUCAUCUCUAGAGACAAUACGUAACAUUCUGGAAUUUAUCUCACCUAUCUCCAGUCCCAAAUCCUGAGCAAUACGUCCGACAAAGGUGCCGUGCUUAGAUUCCUCUGGGAUAAUAUAAUGCAGCUGACUCAGGACCACAUCCCAAGACAUUUGUAGCAAAAAGAAAUGGACCAACCUGCUCUUCUGUUGAUAAUCCUGUUUUAGGAUGGUCAUUUCUUAAAUUCACUGAGGAUGAAGAUGAUAUUCUAUCCAGUAAAUAAGGCAUUCACAAUGACUGAAGAUCCAGGAAACAGAAAAACAAAAACUAUCAUGGCCGAUAUUUCUACAGCAAUGGAGAAAUAUAUUACGUCUUCACCUUGCUGCUAUAAGUUGGUGGGGAGUGACAUCUAGUGCCUGAUUUCAAAGUUGCAGCUAAAAUGUAA